rnacentral:tRNA from 1 species
UCCUCGAUGGUCUAACGGUCAUGAUUUCCGCUUGUCAAUCCUUAAACAGGAACAAGCGCGGGAGACCUGGGUUCGACUCCCAGUCGGGGAG